UUCUGUAGUAAUAAUUUCUCUAUAUAAAAAUUUUAGGUGACAAGACUUUACCAAAAGGCGCGAAUAUUAUAGUUGAAAUUUUUCAUAUACAUCGAAAUGACAAAUACUGGCCGAAUCCCUUAAAAUUUGAUCCUGAAAGAUUUCUUCGAGGGGAAACUAAACAUUCUGAAUAUUAUAUUCCUUUUAGUAAUGGUCCAAGGAAUUGCAUUGGAAUGAAAUAUGCAAUGAUAAGUACCAAAGUUAUUUUGGCAACGUUAAUAAGAACAUUCAAGUUUAAAGUUAAUAAAAAAAUUGAAAUAGGGGAUAUAAAAUUAAAAUUUGACUUCGUAUUAUCUACACAGGAACCUUUGAAAGUCCAAAUUGAAAAACGAAUAAUAAAGUAAUAUAAAAGUAUAAUAAAUGUACGAAAUGAUUUAUUUGCACAUGGCGGUGGUGAGUUUCAAUUUAAUAUUUUUUGUAAUAUAUCAAAUGUAAUAAUUCUAUAUGUAUAUAAAAUAUAUUGAAGUCCCAAACAGCACACAAUA